CAGGCCUAACACAUGCAAGUCGAGCGGACUUAUCCUUCGGGAUAGGUUAGCGGCGGACGGGUGAGUAACACGUAGGCAACCUGCCUGUAAGAUCGGGAUAACUACCGGAAACGGUAGCUAAGACCGGAUAGCUGGUUUCUCCGCAUGGGGGAAUCAUGAAACACGGGGCAACCUGUGGCUUACGGAUGGGCCUGCGGCGCAUUAGCUAGUUGGUGGGGUAACGGCCCACCAAGGCGACGAUGCGUAGCCGACCUGAGAGGGUGAUCGGCCACACUGGGACUGAGACACGGCCCAGACUCCUACGGGAGGCAGCAGUAGGGAAUCUUCCGCAAUGGGCGCAAGCCUGACGGAGCAACGCCGCGUGAGUGAUGGAGGUUUUCGGAUCGUAAAGCUCUGUUGCCAAGGAAGAACGCCUCGGAGAGUAACUGCUCUGAGGGUGACGGUACUUGAGAAGAAAGCCCCGGCUAACUACGUGCCAGCAGCCGCGGUAAUACGUAGGGGGCAAGCGUUGUCCGGAAUUAUUGGGCGUAAAGCGCGCGCAGGCGGUCUUUUAAGUUUGGUGUUUAAGCCCGGGGCUCAACCCCGGUUCGCACUGAAAACUGGGAGACUUGGGUGCAGGAGAGGAAAGCGGAAUUCCACGUGUAGCGGUGAAAUGCGUAGAGAUGUGGAGGAACACCAGUGGCGAAGGCGGCUUUCUGGACUGUAACUGACGCUGAGGCGCGAAAGCGUGGGGAGCAAACAGGAUUAGAU
rnacentral:rRNA from 1 species